rnacentral:lncRNA from 1 species
UAAAAUACUAUACUCACAAAAAUAUUCGAUUUUUUUCGAGUUGUCACUCAAUUUCAAAGAUGAAUUUUCAAAAAACGGACGCGUUUUUGAUUGUUUUGGUGGUAUUUGUUGUUAUGACGAGCCAAACCGCAGCAAGAGUGUUGACGGAGGAGGAUUUUGGUGGUUCUAAUCAUUUUGAAAAAUACUCUUCCAUUUACAACAAGGUGAAGAACUCCAUGGCGUUAUGGCUUGAGAGGUUGCCGUCGGGACCUAGCCCUAGAGGACCAGGUCACUAAGUUAUAUAUAUAUAUAUAUAUAUAUAUAUAUAUAUAUAUAUAUAUAUAUAUAUAUAAGUUAUAUAUGUGUGUGUGUGUGUGUGUGUGGAAGUUUUGAAGAAUUCAGGCACAAGAAUAAGUAGAUUUUAUGGCCUUUUUGAUUGUUUUGAUGGUUAUUUUUAUAAAUAAUGCAGAAAAUACAACAUUCUUUUCUUCUUUCUUUCUUUUAUUCAUGUAAUUAUCCAUAUAAUAUAGGAUAUUAAUAAAGUGAACACAAUUCUUUAUUAAUUUGCUUCACGAAACAAUUGUAUUAGUUUUUGAUAGAUAAAUAUGGACUCGGUUAGAGUGAAAUUGACACUAAUUUUAUAAGUUCAUAUAACUUUUUUUUGUACUGGUAUAUAUACAAAAUAUUACAUUAACCAUUGUAAUAAAAAAUUAUACAACUUAUUAAUACAUAUAAUUUUUUCUAUUUAUGAGCUCCAAACCCAUAAAAUUAUCCUAUUUAAAUUAGGAGUAUUUUAAUUCCGUAGGAAUGUUUUCCGAGAUAGAGAAGGAAUUGGGCUCCAAUUAUUAAUCACGUGUUAUUAAUCAUGUGAGCUUAUGGUGGUGGUUUAUUUCCAAAAAUCAGAAAGAUGUCUUUUAAUAUGGCGAGUUGCAGGUGGAUUCUUCCCCAAAUCAAAAUCAAAAUCAAUAAUAACAUAUACUAAAUGGGCUGAUAAUCAAUUUUGGCCAUUCAAAAAAUUAACAUAUAUUAAAUUAAAUCAACCCAAACAAUAAAAAUUAUUACACAAACUUAAAUAUAUUGUCAUUAUUAAAAUCACCGAUAAUCAAAACUAACAAACAUCAUUCUAAAAAUCUUUGUAAGUACUAGCUAGGAUAUAUAUCAUUGUUUUCAAACCAUCUAAUAAAUUGGGAGAACGUUAUAACAUCAUUCUAAAAAUCUUUGUGAUAAAUUACAAUUCACACAAUAAUAUAUUAUCAAAGACAAUUUCAGAUGAAACCCCCCNNNNNNNNNNNNNNNNNNNNNNNNNNNNNNNNNNNNNNNNNNNNNNNNNNNNNNNNNNNNNNNNNNNNNNNNNNNNNNNNNNNNNNNNNNNNNNNNNNNNUCGAUACUAAACUGGGAAGAAGAUUUAACAAGUGUCUUGAACUCCUCACUUACCCGAUCAUACUUGACAAUUUUGUCAUAACCUACUUGCAUAACAAUCUCACCCCCGGUAACACACAAUGGGAUCACCAAAUUCGAAAUCUCCAAGCGCGGAAUUUCCAGCAUUUUAAACCAAGAUUCCUUAACUCCAUACUCUUCCAUCACCCAUAUACUCCACACCUUUGGCCCCUGCCCAUAAUAAUCAUAAACCACACACAAAAACCCUUCUAAAACCCCUAAAUAAAUAAGUAUAUAAUUAUUAUCAUCAUGAGGCAGUGGUAACACCUUAUAUUCUUCCCUCUCUAAAUCAAGCGAUACGAUCCCUUUGCACACACGACCCUCCAUGUUGCUUGUAAACACAAUCCAAUGCAAAAAUCCAUUAAAACCCGUCCCCAUUAUCUUCCAAAUAUUUUCAACUUUCGUGGGAAAUCGUCCAAUUAUUUUCCAAGAAUUGGAUAUCCGCGAAUAGAUUCUUACUCUUGUUUGAUCACCUCUUACCACCUUAAAAUCGUCUGUACUAGAAACAUAACCAAUCCCAUAAAAUGGUGAGGAAUCUUCUUGUUGUUGUUGUUGUUGUAUAGAUGGUAAUUUCAUGCAGUCCCUUGUAGUAGGGUUCCAUAGAAAUAGGUCACCAUUGAAUGCACUCAACACCAGGCCAUUACAAGAACUAAAAAAAUGAACAGUUGGUAUACGAGAACUAAAUAAUUGAGUUGGAAUUUUGAGAUUUUCAAUAACAACCGGAGAAUUAUAGCAGAUCAUAGAUUGACAUCUCAACGGCCCGAAAAACGAGGCAAUCAGGAUUUGUUUGUGGGUAUUGUUGUAAAUAUUGAGGAAAUCGGGAUCGGUGAGCAAAUUACGCCAAGAUUUGCAAACGCACCUGAAACGAGCCAUGGGUUUUGCUGGUAAUAAGAGAAGUACUUCAUAGAGUAUGUCAUCUGGAAGGGAUGCCAUUGUUGAAUGGUAUUCUUUUUUUUAGUUCAAUAGGGUUAAAUAUAUAUAGGAAUUGGAAAUUAUAAUACAAACUUGAUUCGGAAAAGGAAAGCCUUUUCUUCUUUUUGGAACCAAUAUUUAAGUUUUCUUAAUUGGAAAGUAAGAUAUGUAUAAAAAUUAAGAUUUGGUAAUAUAAAUUAAAUAGAAUCCUAUUCGAACAAGGGGUGCAUAACCUUCAAUAUAAACAAAUUGAGUUUUGUUUUUUUAAUGGGAUAUCGAUCCACUUUUAAUGGGAUAGGGAUAUAAAGUUUUAGAGGUGCUCUGUUGUUAGUAUUAUCAAAAUAUAAACAAUAAAAAUGAGUUUUUUUUUUAAUUUCUAAAACGUAAUAACUAAAAAAAUCAACAAAAACCCACUAUCUCUUUGUAUCAUUAUAUUUUCUUUUGAAAAUCCCACUUUUUACCAAUACAAUAUAACAAGCUCAUCAAUCAAACCAUGUGCGAAGCACAGACAAUAUGAAUAAUUAUUUUUUGUAUUAUUAAAUGAAUACAUAUUAAUUAAAAUGUUGAGAAGAUAUAUAAUUGAAGUUGUUAGAUUAUUAAAUGUAUAUUUAAAUAAUAAUUAUUGAAUUAUAUAUUAUAGAUUACUUCAAUCAAUUAUUAAUCUAAAUAUUUAAAUGGAGUGAAUAUUUAUUUAGUUAUGAGUUUGAGAAAAUAAUUAUUUUAAUUUUAUUUAAGUUUGGAAUGGAAUUAUAUUAGUUUUUAUAUUGUCAAAAUUUACUUGAAAUUCUAAUCCAAAUAGAAGUAUGAAACUCAAGUUCUAAUAAGUUUUAAUUUAGUUGUGACAAUUAAUUAGUAAAGAAUUCAUUAUAAUUUUUCAACUAAUUUUACAAUUAUUAUGUUCUGAAAUAAAUUCGUAUAUAUUAUUAAUAGGCAGAAUUGUAAAAUUGUACCCCAAGUUACCAUCCAAUUUCAAUAUGACUCUUAAAUUUUUAAAAGUCUCAAUGUUGCCCUCCGACUGAAUUGGGGCAUUUUUAAGGGCAAAAUAGUAAUUCCACCUAAAUAAUUUUAUUUUAAGUAAUUAAAUAAAAGAACUAAAUAUCAAAAUAAAUAAAACAAACACAAGCACACACCAAUAAUGUAAGACCCCAACUUAUUAUAAAUAAAAAUCGAAUUUUCUCUAUUUAUUAUUGUGAAUAAUAAGGUGAUAAUUUGAUAUAAUACUUUGGUUAUGGGUGAAAUGUGCAUAUUUUGCAAAAUAAUCAAGUGGUUAUAAAAUAUUCAUUGUGUCGGGGAAUAUUCGUUUGGUCAUGGAAUAUUCUUUCUGUCGGGGAAUAUUCGUACGACGGUGCAGCCAUUUGUGGGCCCUAUAACGGAUAACUUCGGAUGAAGAAAACGACAAAGUAUGAGUUUUUAUAAAUAACGGCGUAAUUAUCACCGUUAACACUGUUGGAAUACCUGGUGGUUAAAAUACAGUAAUACGCGUUGUUGCACAGUAGCACAUGGUAUUGCACAGUAUUGUUGAAUUAUUGAUCCUUACGUAAGAAGUCAUUACUCAAUAAUUGUCACAGUAGUUACUGUUUAAUAUUUUAUUUUAUUGAUUCAAUAAUUGCUACGUUGAUAUUUAUAUUAUUAAUAUUGUUGUUUCAAUAAUUGUCACUGCACAUCAUCUCCAUUAUCAGAUCAAUAAUUCAUAUUAUUUGGAAUAAUAUUAUUAGAUAACAUUAUUGGCAAUGUCUAGAAAGUUCUGUCAAGGAGAGGUUUGGUCACCUAAUUGCUCGCCAGUAAGGAAAAAUCCUUAUUGGAAAGCCCCCCUCUUUCCUGGGAACGGCCUGGUUGUCUUAAAUAUGAUUCUGUAAUAUUAUUUAUGAAUAAUUAAUUAUUGAUUCAUAUGAUAAGGAAAUAUUUAUUUUAUGUGGAUAUAAAUGUUGGAUAUAUUUAUUGUGGUUAAAAAUGAAGGAGUUAAUGUUGAGGUGUUUUAUCAGUAUUUUUAUCGAAAUGGAGGUAUUAAAAAUUAAACCAGUGUUUUUGAGAUAUAUUGCGUGAGUUAUAAUUUUUAAUCCGACCGUUGGAUCGUUGUGAUUUUUGGAUAUGUUAUACAUAUAUAAGUUGAGUAUAUGUCCACAAAUUUUGAACCGUUAAAAAUGAACGUAUGAUUUGUUAUGAAUUUUAAGAGGUGACUGAUUCAGAAAUUAGGUUUAUAAAUGAUUUUGGUGGAAAAUUCUAGAAUUGAGUGGGCCCCACUUGUGGUUGGUGAAGAAAUGUGCUGAAUUUAAUUUAAAUGUGGUGGGUGGGAAUAGUAGCAGGUAAAGCCAUCAGGUUGCAGGUCAAGUCUGCUAACAUUUUCCUAUAAAUAGAGGGCUAAGUUAGAAUUGAAAAUCACACCAGAAACAUAAAUUUUCUCUCUCUAUAUUAUCGAGCGUAUUCUUGUGAGUAUUUUGAUACUUUGAGUGUUACUAUACGGUGCAAGUUCCUUCAACACUAUAUCCGAUAUUUCGAUCAGAAGUACUGUUCGUUUGAGGUAAGAGAUGUUAUUUUCUUCGUAAAUGAUAUUAUUUCUUCAAUAUCAUUAUGCCGAAAUAUUGGUCUGAACUUUUUAUCAAAUUUAGAACUUUUUGUGUUGGAGUUACUAUUCACGUAUACAACACUAUUCACGAAUACGACACUAUUCACCAAAAAAUGAAAUUUUCUCCUUUUUUGUCCAAGAUGUCUAUUAUGGUUACUAUCUUUGAUUGUAUCCAUGUUUUGAUCUUUAUUCUUGAAUUUUGCUUCGAAAUUGGUUAUUAUGGAGUAUUAUUGAUCUUGGAUAAACUGUAAUACGAAUCUCUAAUAUUUGUUAUUUUGUUUCACUGGAUUUAUUUUCUUUAAUAUAUUUUUCAUCAUCCUCAGACCUAAACGAUGAUAUUACUGAAUAUCUUUGGCCUGUAGUGCAAAGAUGAAUGAUUAACUGAUGAAUAUCUUUGACCUAUAGUGCAAAGAUGAAUGAUUACCUAAUGAUAUCUUUGGCCCGUAGUGCAAAGAUGAACAGGUGUUGAGAUGAACAUGACCAACUGGUGAUACAAAUGAAUAUAUUUGGUCUGUAGUGCAAAGAUGAAUAUUUGAUUAAAGAUGUAUAUUGAUUGUUGUUACAGGGAUAAAAUAUUGAUGAUGGACUUUUAAAUCUUAGAAGAUAGUAGAACUCAUUCUCUACUUGACUCUUCUAAUGGAUUGUUGUUUCCGCUGCAGUUGUUGAUCUAAAACUUGUUGUCUAUUAUAUUUUAUCAGAUUUUUCCAUGUUGAAGACUAACGAUAAUUUGUUUUAUAUUAUCUUAGUCAUAAUAUUUUUUACUGGGCUAGUUGAGCUCACCCUUUUCCUUUUUAUUCCAUUAUUCUUCUCAGGAGGAGAGAAUUUAGCAGGAACUAGCCGGGGUAUGGAGUGAUGAUUCAAG